GACGAACGCUGGCGGCGUGCUUAACACAUGCAAGUCGAACGGAAAGGCCCUGCUUUUGUGGGGUGCUCGAGUGGCGAACGGGUGAGUAACACGUGAGUAACCUGCCCUUGACUUUGGGAUAACUUCAGGAAACUGGGGCUAAUACCGGAUAGGAGCUCCUGCUGCAUGGUGGGGGUUGGAAAGUUUCGGCGGUUGGGGAUGGACUCGCGGCUUAUCAGCUUGUUGGUGGGGUAGUGGCUUACCAAGGCUUUGACGGGUAGCCGGCCUGAGAGGGUGACCGGCCACAUUGGGACUGAGAUACGGCCCAGACUCCUACGGGAGGCAGCAGUGGGGAAUAUUGCACAAUGGGCGGAAGCCUGAUGCAGCAACGCCGCGUGCGGGAUGACGGCCUUCGGGUUGUAAACCGCUUUCGCCUGUGACGAAGCGUGAGUGACGGUAAUGGGUAAAGAAGCACCGGCUAACUACGUGCCAGCAGCCGCGGUGAUACGUAGGGUGCGAGCGUUGUCCGGAUUUAUUGGGCGUAAAGGGCUCGUAGGUGGUUGAUCGCGUCGGAAGUGUAAUCUUGGGGCUUAACCCUGAGCGUGCUUUCGAUACGGGUUGACUUGAGGAAGGUAGGGGAGAAUGGAAUUCCUGGUGGAGCGGUGGAAUGCGCAGAUAUCAGGAGGAACACCAGUGGCGAAGGCGGUUCUCUGGGCCUUUCCUGACGCUGAGGAGCGAAAGCGUGGGGAGCGAACAGGCUUAGAUACCCUGGUAGUCCACGCUGUAAACGGUGGGUACUAGGUGUGGGGUCCAUUCCACGGGUUCCGUGCCGUAGCUAACGCUUUAAGUACCCCGCCUGGGGAGUACGGCCGCAAGGCUAAAACUCAAAGGAAUUGACGGGGCCCCGCACAAGCGGCGGAGCAUGCGGAUUAAUUCGAUGCAACGCGUAGAACCUUACCUGGGUUUGACAUGGAUCGGGAGUGCUCAGAGAUGGGUGUGCCUCUUUUGGGGUCGGUUCACAGGUGGUGCAUGCCUGUCGUCAGCUCGUGUCGUGAGAUGUUGGGUUAAGUCCCGCAACGAGCGCAACCCUUGUUCACUGUUGCCAGCACGUUAUGGUGGGGACUCAGUGGAGACCGCCGGGGUCAACUCGGAGGAAGGUGGGGAUGACGUCAAGUCCUCAUGCCCCUUAUGUCCAGGGCUUCACGCAUGCUACAAUGGCUGGUACAGAGAGUGGCGAGCCUGUGAGGGUGAGCGAAUCUCGGAAAGCCGGUCUCAGUUCGGAUUGGGGUCUGCAACUCGACCUCAAGAAGUCGGAGUCGCUAGUAAUCGCAGAUCAGCAACGCUGCGGUGAAUACGUUCCCGGGGCU
rnacentral:rRNA from 1 species